rnacentral:rRNA from 1 species
UACAGAGGUCUCAAGCGUUGUUCGGAUUCAUUGGGCGUAAAGGGUGCGUAGGCGGCGCGGUAAGUCGGGGGUGAAAUCCUGGAGCUCAACUCCAGAACUGCCUUUGAUACUGGUGAGCUUGAGUCCGGAAGAGGUGAGUGGAACUGCGAGUGUAGAGGUGAAAUUCGUAGAUAUUCGCAAGAACACCAGUGGCGAAGGCGGCUCACUGGUCCGGUACUGACGCUGAGGUGCGAAAGCGUGGGUAGCAAACAGG